rnacentral:rRNA from 1 species
CGAGCACGCGCGUGUGGCAUAUCAAUAAGCGGAGGAAAAGAAACUAACAAGGAUUCCCUUAGUAACGGCGAGUGAAGCGGGAAGAGCUCAAAUUUGAAAUCUUCAAGGUUCUACCUUGACGAAUUGUAGUUUAUAGAAGUGUUUUCUGUUAGUGGAGUGGCAAAAGUUCUUUGGAAUAGGACAUCAUAGAGGGUGAGAAUCCCGUAUUUGGUCAUUCCUCCUAGCGUUGUGAUACACUUUCAACGAGUCGGAUUGUUUGGGAAUGCAGUCCAAAAUGGGUGGUAAAUUUCAUCUAAAGCUAAAUAUUGGCGAGAGACUGAUAGCGAACAAGUACCGUGAGGGAAAGAUGAAAAGAACUUUGAAAAAGAGGUUAAACAGUACGUGAAAUUGUCAAAAGGGAAGCGUUUGACACCAGUGUUGUUUUUCCGAAAAUCAAUUACGAAUGUUUUAUUUCUUGAGGAGUUAUGACUUCAUCGGCUUGCUUCUUUCUUUAUGAAACUUUCUUAAUGCACUUUUCGGUUAACAGGUCAACAUCAAUUUCUUUUGUUGUAAAAGGGUAUGAGGAAGGUGGCUUUCUUUUCGGAGAAAGUGUUUAUAGCCUUGUGCCUCUGCAAUCGGAGAGAUUGAGGUCUGCAGCGUAGAUCCUUCGGGGUUAGAUACGUUUGUGCUAAGUUAUAGCUUUUCAUAGACAACUUGUUGACUAUGUUUAGUCUUGUAGCUUACUCGCUUACUGCUAUUUUACCUACGCUUAGGAUGUUGAUGUGAUACUGCGAGCA